UACGGAAGGUCCGGGCGUUAUCCGGAUUUAUUGGGUUUAAAGGGAGCGCAGGCCGCCCCUUAAGCGUGUUGUGAAAUGCCGCGGCUCAACCGUGGCACUGCAGCGCGAACUGGGGGGCUUGAGUGCGCCGGAGGGAGGUGGAAUUCCAAGUGUAGCAGUGAAAUGCGUAGAUAUCACGCAGAACUCCGAUUGCGAAGGCAGCCUACCGUAGCGUUACUGACGCUGAGGCUCGAAGGUGCGGGUAUCGAACAGG
rnacentral:rRNA from 1 species